UUUCCGUAGGUGAACCUGCGGAAGGAUCAUUAUCGAACAACGGAUUGUCGCUGGCUAGGUGAUUCUAGCAUGUGCACAUCUAAUCUCUACUUAACACACCUGUGAACCUAUCGUAGAUCGAGAGAUCUAUGUCUUUUCAACACAACACCAAUCAUCGUAUGUCCAUAGAAUGUAAUAAAUUUUAAUACAACUUUCAGCAAUGGAUCUCUUGGUUCUCGCAUCGACGAAGAACGCAGC
rnacentral:misc_RNA from 1 species